rnacentral:rRNA from 1 species
CCUACGGGAGGCAGCAGUGGGGAAUUUUGGACAAUGGACGCAAGUCUGAUCCAGCAAUGCCGCGUGAGUGAUGAAGGCCUUAGGGUUGUAAAGCUCUUUUACCAGGGAUGAUAAUGACAGUACCUGGAGAAUAAGCUCCGGCUAACUCCGUGCCAGCAGCCGCGGUAAUACGGAGGGAGCUAGCGUUGUUCGGAAUUACUGGGCGUAAAGCGUACGUAGGCGGUUAUUCAAGUCAGAGGUGAAAGCCUGGAGCUCAACUCCAGAACUGCCUUUGAAACUAGAUAACUAGAAUCACGGAGAGGUGAGUGGAAUUCCGAGUGUAGAGGUGAAAUUCGUAGAUAUUCGGAAGAACACCAGUGGCGAAGGCGGCUCACUGGACGUGUAUUGACGCUGAGGUACGAAAGCGUGGGGAGCAAACAGGAUUAGAUACCCUGGUAGUCCACGCCGUAAACGAUGAUAACUAGCUGCCAGGGCUCUUAGAGCUUUGGUGGCGCNGCUACGCAUUAAGUUAUCCGCCGUGGGAGGUACGGUCGCAGAUAACUACAAUAGAGUAGUACGGCGUGAGACGUGCCGACGGACGACGACGAGGGAGGUUAGG